UUUUGAGGAAUAAAUUUUUACGAAGUUUCGUUAGGGAACCCUGCGGAAGGAUCAUUACCAAUAUUAUGGGAAACCAUAAAACCCGGUGCUUAGUCGCCUAGUUGCCUCGGCGGGAGGGCCGACGCGGUCCCCCGCCAGAGAAGAAAGUACAACCCUACUUAUCGGUGCUGUCCGAACGAAGUACCUAAACGAGUUAAAACUUUCAACAAUGGAUCUUCUUGGUUCUGGCAUCGAUGAAAGAACGCAGCGAAAUGCGAUAAGUAAUGUGAAUUGCAGAAAUUCAGUGAAUUCAUCGAAUCUUUGAACGCACAUUGCGCCCCCUGGUAUUUCCGGAAGGGCACACCUGUUCGAGCGUCAUUAUCAAACAAUCAAGCUGUGCUUGGUAAUUGGGGAUCGCCCCGCGGGCUGCGGCCUCGGGGCGCCUCCGAAAGCGAUGGGCGUGGCGUGCACCCGGCUUUCGAAGCGUGAUAGCGGUUCUUGACAAAUCCGAUCGCUCUGGAAGUCCGGCCGUCCCUGCCUCCGGUGCGUGGCACCGACAACCUCUCCACAGUUGACCUCGGAUCAGGUGGGGUUACCCGCUGAACUUAAGCAUAUCAAUAAGCGGAGGAAAAGAAACCAACAGGGAUUGCCUCAGUAACGGCGAGCGAAGCGGCAAGAGCUCAGAUUUGAAAUCCGGCCUUCGGGUUCAGAGUUGUAAUCUGUAGGGGAUGCUUCGGGACCGUCGCCGGCCUAAGUUCCUUGGAACAGGACGUCGCAGAGGGUGAGAAUCCCGUAUGCGGCCGGAUCGACCAACCGUGUGAAGCUCCUCCGACGAGUCGAGUUGUUUUGGGAAUGCAGCUUCUAAAUGGGAGGUAAAUUUUCUUCUAAAGCUAAAAUACUGGGCCAGAGAACCGAUAGCGCACAAGUAGAGUGAUCGAAAGAUGAAAAGCACUUUUGGAAAGAGAGUUAAAAAAGUACGUGAAAUUGUGUGAAAAGGGAAGCGCUUGCGACCAGAUCUCGACCGUUGGCGGAUCACCCCCUUCCCCGCGGAAGGGCUCACUCCGCCCUCGGUCGGGCCAGCAUCCGGUUCCGGGCGGUCGGAUAAAGGCUUCCGGGAAUGUGGCUCCUCUUAAGGGGAAGUUAUAGCCCGUCGCGCAAUACGGCCGCCGGGACCGAAGACCCGCCUCCGCAAGAUCGCUAGCUUAAGUAACGCCCUUUUUUAAAA
rnacentral:rRNA from 1 species